rnacentral:rRNA from 1 species
GGUUGCGAUCAUACCAGCACUAAUGCACCGGAUCCCAUCAGAACUUCGCAGUUAAGCGUGCUUGGGCGAGAGUAGUACUAGGAUGGGUGACCCCCUGGGAAGUCCUCGUGUUGCGACCC